rnacentral:lncRNA from 1 species
CCUUACAAAGGUACAAAACGAAUGGGUAUUGUAGUGGUGCAGAAGCAAAACACAAAGGCUGUGCCAGGUGUGUGUUUAGUGGAGAAUAACCUAUUGAUGGGGCAUUCCAUGGGACAAGUACGAAGAUUCAUUUCGGCGGCCACAGAUGCAAAGGGUUCCCGUUUGUCUACAACCCAUUCCAACCAACCUGGAAAUUCUGUUGUUUCAUUUCAGGCUGUGGCUUCUCAUGCAAAGAAGGUGAAUGCUCUAGAGGUGAAAACUAGUGUCCUGGACAAGAACAAAACGGGAAGGCAUUUAACAGUGCAGUGUCCGCCCCACUCCCUCCAAAGUCCUGUCAAUGCAUUACAAGAUAAUAAUAAUAAUAAUAAUAAUAAUAAUAAACAACUUUAUUUAUAUCCCGCCCUCCCCAGCCGAAGCCAGGCUCAGGGCAGCUAACCAAUAAAAUAAUACAACAUUCUAAAAUCAUUUCAUUAUAAAAUUAAUUCAAAUCAAAUUGAUGGCAACCAUUGGGCUAGAGUUCAGUGAAGAUUGCCGAGGGAGGGAGUCAGGCUGUGCCCUGGCCAAAGGCCUGGUGGAACAGCUCCAUCUUGCAGGCCCUGCAGAAAGAUGUCAAGUUCCACAGGGCCCUAGUCUCUUGUGAUGUUGAUUCAGGUGUGUGCUCUCUAGUCAAAAAAUCUGUAGUGGAAUUUGUAUUCAGUAACAGACAUUCAGGUUUUUAUGCUUCUUCUCUAUCAGUUUCAUUCAUAGGUAAAAACACUGUUGCCUUAAGGAGCAAUCCUAUUGUUUUAUUAUUUUCUUGCCCUGGGCAACCCAAAGGGACUUAACAACCAGACAGUAAACCUUACAUAGAUGCUUUACAACCCAGAGGAAAGAGAACUACAUUAAAAACAUCCCAACCAUUUCUAAAAGGCCACAGAUAGUUAAAGGUCAAAGGCCUGGUAAUAGAGGAAAAUGUUUUGCCUGCCACCUAAAAAUACAUAUUUAUGGCCUAGGAAGCCUGUUGUAUGCUGGGUACCAGUCUCUGCAUCAGAAGGACCAUGUCACAAAAUGCAGGUGGUACAUCAGUGUUACAGGAAGAUGCAUUGGUGCAGAUGUUUUAAGCAUGGUAACAAAGAAGGUAAGGUGUUCUGCGUGAAGAAAGUUAUCUGAACCAUCUUCCUCGUCUUUUGCUGUGAUCUAUGUGCAUGCAUGUUUUUGCCACCAGAGGGCAGUGUGGUUCAAACAAUAAGCGGACAGCCGCCUAGGGUUGGCAAAAGUGGGCAUUGUGGCACUUUGUGGUAUGGAGAGGUGCAAGUUUCAACACAAGCCCGUGACAAGUAUAAAAUAUGAAAACCCAUUAAUUUAAAUAGAUAUUUCUCGGGAGUAUGCAAAGCCUCAAAGCAAAUGUACCAAAAGAGACGUGGUUUGGUUUGCUGUAACACAUCAUUUCCUGAGAUUUCAGAAGCCCAGCAGAUGGGGGAGCUGAUAUUCCACUGUACCUCCCUAUGCCAUUUCUAAUAAUUGCAUUGGGCCAGAAGACUUAGCUGGUGCUAAGCAGGUCUGGGCCCAUAAGUUGCCUCAUUGGGAGACUGUCUGAGAAGGCAGCAGGAGCUGCUUUGAACUCUUCUAAGGAAGGGGGUGGUAUUUGUGUGACGGAUUAAUGUAUCAAGGAAGGACAGAUGAACUUGAGUUAAAUGGGUUAGGAGCACUGGAAGAUGCCUCAGGCUCAAUUAGGCUAUAGUUCUCAUUCCACUCUAUUGUCCUCACCUGGGGUUGUCAACCUUUUUAUACCUACCGCCCACUAAUGCAUCUUUCUUGAUGGUAAAAUUUCCUUACCGCCAACCAGUGCUCAAUGGAAGGAGGAUUCAGCUUGUACCAUAGAACCCCCUACUGCCCACCUAGAACCCUGAAACACCCACUAGUGGGCGGUAGAGACCAGGUCUAUACUGCAGUCAUCUCCUAUGCAGGGAUAUGUUCCCGGGUACUGCACGUAUACGUGAACUCAUGUAUAGUUGGGAACACCAUCUAAAAAGCUUUUGAACCCUCUCUAAACUUCUGGAAACCACAUCCUCAAAAAUCUGCCAAACUCCACCACAAUCACUCCCUGAAAACCUACUUUCUCAAACUCACACGGGCCUCGAAGGUCGGUGCAAAAGCUCCUGGGAUUGUUCCUGCUCUCUUUGCACCAUUUUUGCAAUUUUCCUGCUCUUUUUUUGGGUCAUUUUGGCCCUUUCCUUGCCUUUUUAAAAAAUUGUUUUAUUUAAUUAUUUGCUGGCACUGCACGUAUACAGGGUCCCAUGGAGUCAAAUGCUUGUAAGAGCGGGGACGCCUGUGUUGUGACUGCCAGCAACUGAUUUCAGGAUUUCAGAUAGGGGGCAUUUCUGACCGUACCUAGAGAUGCUGGGGACUGAGCCUGAGGCCUUCUGCGUAAAUGCAUGUGUUCUCCCACUGAACUACAGGCCUUCGGUUACCUUCUAAAAGAUACGGCCCCUUGUUGGGGAUAGGAUUGCACCAACCAGGGCUGAAAAGAAGCUCACCUGAAUGGGAAUUGUAUGACAGGUGAGGUCCCUCUUUUCCUGGUCCUCCAGAUGUUGUUGGACUACAACUCCCAUCAUCCCUGACUACUGGCUAUGUCCGCUGGGGCUGAUGGGAGCUGAGAGUCCAGCAACACUUGGGCCACAGGUUCCCCAUCCCUGCCUUAAAGCAACCUGAUGACAGAUGUCACUAUACCAGGCUUCCGACGGUCUUAGACUACAGUGAGACAAGGUUCCAUUUUGGCCAGAUUGAGGCAGCCCCAUAAACAAAGGGAAAGGGCCUCUGUGGCUCCUGGGCACGUUUCACCCAGUAUGAAGUUAUGUAAGAGGCUUUCUAGAUAAAAAGAAAAUGAGGAAAUAAAACAUUCCUUCAUUACCGCAUGUUGUUCCCCACAGAGUCAAAUGAUCCAUCACAUUGUGCUGAAUCAUGCCAGCCAGCCUUGUAUUGGAACAUGUCAAGAGGAGAUAUGAUGGAGAAAGAGGAGGAGAAAGAGGAAGAGGAAUUCAAAAUCAUAUUUGGUUUCUGGGCAAUGCAAAGGCUCAUAUUUAAAUGCACGCUAUUGCCACUUUUCAUUUCAGUUGUGUUCCUUGUUGUGCUAAUAUCAGUGAAUUUUCUUUAUGUUCCUUCCAGAAUUGCAAACUUCUUUUCAAACUACACUCGCACAAAUGCUGCAAAUUGCUCUGUAUGUGAUGGUUUUGUGCGGUCCUCCCUCUUUCGAUGGCAGUGUGUAUGUAAUGAAAUUGGGGUUAGAUGACUUAGGUUUCUGGGGUCCCUUCUAAUCCUGUCAUUUUUACCUCUGCAAAAUAGGAAUCUGCAGAAAAAGGGGACUGCUGACAUAGCUGGACCCAGCUGUUUUGUUAAGUAAACAGCCCUGCACAGCUUAUCUGCUUUGUUAAAGGGAAAGGGACCCCAGACUGUUAAGUCCAGUCGCAGAUGAGACUGGGGUUGCGGCGCUCAUCUUGCUUUAUUGGCCGAGGGAGCCGGCGUACAGCUUCUGGGUCAUGUGGCCAGCAUGACUAAGCCACUUCUGGCGAACCAGAGCAGCGCACGGAAACGCCAUUUACCUUCCCGCCGGAGUGGUGCUUAUUUAUCUACUUGCACUUUGACAUGCUUUCGAACUGCUAGGUUGGCAGGAGCAGGGGCCGAGCAACGGGAGCUCACCCCGUUGUGGGGAUUCGAACUGCCGACCUUCUGAUCAGCAAGCCCUAGGCUCUGUGGUUUAGACCACAGCGCCACCCGCGUCCCACAUCUGUUUUGUUAUGUAAGCUUAAAUCAAAGUGUAGCCAUACAGGAAAUAAAUUGCUGAAGACACUUGCCCAAGGUGAUCUGAAGGGGUUGUUGCCAGGAUGAAAUGAGGGGGAGAACUGUGUACAUCACUCUUUGGAGGAAUGGUGGGAUACAAAUGUAAUAUAUUUUAUUAAAAAGGUAUUGAAUUCUGCUUGGAAAUGGAUCUGGUAGCCUUUCCAGUCACUGCCAUUAGCCACCUGGUCAAAAAGUUAUUUUUUCUCUCUUUUUAACUUUGAUAGAGUUGGAAGGGACCCUGAGGAUCAUCUAGUCCAACCCCCUGCAAUGCAGGAAUGUGCAGCUCCCCCAUAUGGGGAUCGAACCUGCAACCUUGCCGUUAUCAGCACCACAUGCUAACCAGCUGAGCUAUAAUGAGCAUGAUAGUGUUGCCAUGUAGAUGAGUGCUAUAGUGCUGUUAUGCCACUAAUAUUUUUGUUUGUUUAUUAAAACACUACAGCUGGAAAAGCACUGGGGCAUUAAUUAAUUAAAAGACUGGCAUAAACAAACAACCAAACAGUCUGAUAAAGUGGUGUCCACCUCAAAGGUUAUCAUGAAGGUGUGCUGAGCUUGAAAUGGCUGCAUGGGUGAACUAGACCUUCCUUGCCUACAGCUAUUUAUUUAUUAUAAUUUCUUACCCGACUUUCCUCAUGAGGUUGUAGGGCUGGUUACAAUGGCACAGCAUACAGACCAAUGGUUCCCAAAGUGGGUGCUACUGCCCCCUGGGGGCCAGUGGGGUUACCCAGGAGGAUGCUGGAAGUAUAAAGGACUAUCCAACUUUGAAAAGCUGGUAUCGCUGGAUCCAGUUCACCAGCUUUGUUGAAUUAAUGAAACUAAAUGGUUUUGACU